UCUUAAGGCCAUGCCACCCUGAAUGUGCCCGAUCUCAUCUGAUCUUGGAAGCUAAGCAGGGUCCGGCCUGGUUAGUACUUGGAUAGGAGACCACCUAGGAAUACCAGGUGCUAUAGGUA
rnacentral:rRNA from 1 species